rnacentral:lncRNA from 1 species
AACCAAUCAUACUGUAGACAUAUUUUAAUCUACAUUCAUAGUAUUCAAUGUUUAUAUAGUAAAUAAUUAUUGUACCAAAAUGUGGCUUAUAUAAAUAGCAAAUUAUGAUGAUAUACAAAUCAUUCAUUUAACAGAAAAAAAUUUGUGUAAUGUCAUCUGUUGGAAUAUAUAUUAAGUAUUACACAUGGACAGGAUGUUCCCCAUAAAAGUAAGGUAUUCCACACCCCAGAGUACACGCAACUGUCAAAUAGAAAUUACUGAUUUACCUGUACUUAGCCAUACAACUUAUCAGUUGACCGACC